UUAGCCCAACAGUGAUGUAGUAGUGACCUUUCCUGUCCCCGUAGGAAACACCUGACUGAAGCAACUGCUGCCACCAGCAGUUAGACUGGACCUUCCCACCUCAACUAAGCGGAUCUAGAAACUCCUCACAGACACGCCCAGAGGGCUGCUUCCAUGGUGCUUCUGAAUUUCAUCGGGCUGACAGCUAAAUUAACCAUCGUAGUUGGCGUCUCCUCCACUCCAGUCUUCAAGUUGCUCCUUGUGGUUUGAAGGCUCAUUAUAUGAGCCCGGACACCUGUGACACAAAGAGAGGAAGGCAGCCAGGAAUAAAGCAGUGAGGCAAAGAAGGAGCAGAAGCAGGAUUCCAGAGGAUCUGGUGCAGCCUCCCUUGGCUCCUUGGUAAAGACUUCCUCAGCUGUCAGUCUACCCAUCUGUCAUGUACAACUGCUUCCUUCCAGCCCUAUAGCCCAAGGUCAUGGGCAGAGCAAAUACCACUACAAGAUACUGAGCCAGGCAUGGUGGUACGCACCUUUAAUUCCAACACUUGGAAGAUGGAGACAGGAGAACCAGAAGUUCAAGACCAGACUGAAUUACAUAAUUUCAAAAACUAAAAUAAUCCCAAAUAUAUAUAAAAAUUUGUAAUGUCAACUUGUGUAAUAUAUACUUCUGGAGUUGGAAUA